AAAGCUUACAUGGUACAGAUUAAAGAAAAGGUUAACGUCGUGUCUUAUAGGGAAGUCAAGGAAUUGGCCUUUGAUAGACUGGAAUGGAAAAUGCUACACCGACAAGAGCGUGGCUCUUAAAUUGAUGAUGAUGAAGACUAACACGAAGACGCCGCUCAUGAAGGCUUUGUGCCUUUAAAUAGAUAUGUAUAUCGCAAUUGGGGUUUUACAUCCAUCGCAAGAUGAACUAAGCACCCUUGCCACCGAGGUUUCUGUUAGACCAAAGUUAUAGGCGGUGAGCCGUAUCACCGUCUGUAAUGGUCGAGCCAACUGUCUUAGUGAAAACUACACUUAAGAUAAAUAAGAAUCUCAUUGGUGCAAGUCCAGUACCGGGGUUCGACCGCAGCUCCCCGAUUGUGAUUCAAGCGGGUAUACCACAGGACAACAGUGACUAUUAAAUAUACAGGGUGUUAGAGACAUCGUAACGAAAACUUUGAGGGUUGAUUCAGACCAUGAUUCUCAGUUGAUAUCAAGUGGAAUUUUCCAUCGCAAAAGUAUGGAUUUGAAAAUAAUUAAAAAAAAAAACAAAAAAAAAA